UGUUUAACGUUUCCUAUAAUAAGCGUCAAAAUCUGGCCAGUGUAGAGGUACUAUCUCAUGAAAUAAGAAGAUUUCAUAAUAAUGUGGUUUUUACUCUUUAGAAAAUCGUCUGGACCUUAAAAAAGUGCAGCCCAUCUGACAAAAUUAAGCCAGCAGGGGCAUUUAGCCAGCCUUUGAUGAUGAUGUACAAUUAAUUUGAUGGGAGGAUGAGAACUUGACCAAAGUGCAGGUUUUGAUUUGCCACCGUGGUAGUGUUGAGAGCUCACCUUCCGUUAAGCUGCCCAGAGCUUUCCCAGACCUGGAGCAAAAGACUCCUGCCUGUGAGCUGAAGUGCCAUUAGGAGCUUUGAUUAUCACCACACAGUCACAACGCAGACAAUGUAGACAAUGACAGUCUAAACUGGGAUGUCUUUCUGAGGCCAGUGGAUGUGUUAAUAGACUUCCAGCUAAAUGUAACACAUAUAGACAUUUUAUAUAACAGAUACAACUAUACCAUGGACCUUAAUGGAAUAAAUCUAAGCAUCUGCCAGCUAUGCAUCUGCCACUAGACAUAAGGAGGCUCUGUGGUGGCCGGUAUUAGCGAGGCGCGUGAUUAAGGUGGAGCCUGCGGUGCUAGCAGAGCUAAGCUUUGGGUAUCCUGAGGGUGUGAGAGGAUCUCCUCAUGUGCUGAGGUCAGUGUUGGUUCAACCUGACUGAACGCCAGCUCACUGAACAAACUAUGACCUGUGCAGUCAUGUAACCCCUCAGUUGUGGAGGUAUUGAUAGUCAUGGCUCGGACCAGAUGGGUAUUUUUUUUUUUUUUUUUGUUAUUUUAAUUGCACUGAUUUUGGUGGAAAUUCUGCAGAACUAGAUAGGGUGCCAUCGCCUUCCCAAAAUUCAGCAAGCCAGAUGGAUCCAAUAUUAUCCCCUACCCCCCAACACUUGUCAGAAGAGUGCUUACAGUCUUCACAGACCAGUAAUCUUGUGAAAGCGAGGCAGGUUACUGCUGGCAUCAAGUGUCACUUUGGGUAAAGUUGCUGUUGAUUUUCACCCAUAUUUUUUUUUAUUAUUAUUUUUUCAUUCCCCCGUCUGAGAAGGGGCGUGUUACUGUCAUUGCCAGCUGUGGUUGCUCAAAACUCCCGGUUGGGUGUGAGAGACAUCUCAUCUAAUGGCUGAGGAUGUUUCUCUCUGAAGCCUGUUAUCGUAGUCACAAAAGAGCUUAAUAACGGAGAUUUCAUUUAUGACUCUUGUUUCCUUUCAGACGAUACACUGGCAUCCCAGAGGAAAUACUUCCUGAUUACUGCAGUCAUGAAUUACAUGUAUUGAAUUAUAAAAAUGCCCAUAUUUUUCUCUCUGGAUGGGA
rnacentral:lncRNA from 1 species